rnacentral:lncRNA from 1 species
CAAAGGAAGAUGGAAACUUACCAGAGUAUGAUAAAGAGUACGUACCUGUGGGCUUCUCCAAUUUACUAAGGAAGGAUCUUACCCUUUCUACCUCCUCAUGAUUUAGCAGGACAUAUUCUUCACAUUGCCCAUUAGCAAUGUGUACUUGCCUCCCUUUUCUUGGAGGGUCUCCCUUGUGCCCCCAUUCUCGCUCUCCUUUUUGUCCCCAUUCUCGGCUUGGGUGUUUUCCAUAUAAUCUCCAGCACUUAUCCCUUGUAUGACAUGUCUUGUUGCAGUAGGUGCACCAUACUUUCUCCAUAUUAUUAGGAUAUCCACAUUUCCUCUAAUUAAAAAUCAUGGCUAGUUAGGAUCUCCAUCAUCAGUCCUCUCCUACUUUCUUCACUCUGGAUAAUUACUACCACUUCAUUAAAUCCUGGGACUUUCUCCUUUCCCAGAAUUUGGAUUCGGACUUGAUCAGAUUCUGGAUUCAGACCAACCAAAAAAUCAUCGACCCUAUUUUGCUCAAUAUACUUCUUAAGGAUUGUUGAAUCUUCUGAACACACA